rnacentral:misc_RNA from 1 species
UGACGAGGUUUUGUUGUCUGCUACAGGGAAAGAUGCAACUGAUGAUUUUGAGGAUGUGGGUCAUAGCACGAGUGCUAGAGAAAUGAUGGAUAAAUACUAUGUUGGAGAGAUUGAUCCCUUAACCAUCCCUAAGAAGGCUGCAUAUAAUCCUCCUAAGCAGCGUCACUACAAUCAGGAUAAGACCUCUGAGUUCAUUAUCAA